rnacentral:rRNA from 1 species
AAUGAACGCUGGCGGCAGGCCUAACACAUGCAAGUCGAACGGAUCCUUCGGGAUUAGUGGCGGACGGGUGAGUAACGCGUGGGAACAUACCCUUUGGUACGGAAUAGCCUCGGGAAACUGGGAGUAAUACCGUAUGUGCUCUUCGGAGGAAAGAUUUAUCGCCAAAGGAUUGGCCCGCGUUGGAUUAGGUAGUUGGUGGGGUAAUGGCCUACCAAGCCGACGAUCCAUAGCUGGUUUGAGAGGAUGAUCAGCCACACUGGGACUGAGACACGGCCCAGACUCCUACGGGAGGCAGCAGUGGGGAAUCUUAGACAAUGGGGGAAACCCUGAUCUAGCCAUGCCGCGUGAUCGAUGAAGGCCUUAGGGUGUAAAGAUCUUUCAGUGGGGAAGAUAAUGACGGUACCCACAGAAGAAGCCCCGGCUAACUCCGUGCCAGCAGCCGCGGUAAU